ACCGUGGGGGUCCAGUGGUAGAAUUCUCGCCUUUCAUGCAGGAGACCUGGGUUUGAUUCCCAGCCAAAGCA
rnacentral:tRNA from 1 species